CCUACGGGUGGCAGCAGUGAGGAAUAUUGGUCAAUGGACGAGAGUCUGAACCAGCCAAGUAGCGUGAAGGAUGACUGCCCUAUGGGUUGUAAACUUCUUUUAUAUGGGAAUAAAAUGUUCCACGUGUGGGAUUUUGUAUGUACCAUAUGAAUAAGGCUCGGCUAACUCCGUGCCAGCAGCCGCGGUAAUACGGAGGAUCCGAGCGUUAUCCGGAUUUAUUGGGUUUAAAGGGAGCGUAGGUGGAGUGUUAAGUCAGUUGUGAAAGUUUGCGGCUCAACCGUAAAAUUGCAGUUGAAACUGGCAGUCUUGAGUACAGUAGAGGUGGGCGGAAUUCGUGGUGUAGCGGUGAAAUGCUUAGAUAUCACGAAGAACUCCGAUUGCGAAGGCAGUUCACUGGACUGCAACUGACACUGAGGCUCGAAAGUGUGGGUAUCAAACAGGAUUAGAUACCCUUGUAGUC
rnacentral:rRNA from 1 species